UACGUAGGGCGCAAGCGUUGUCCGGAAUUAUUGGGCGUAAAGAGCUCGUAGGCGGUUUGUCGCGUCUGGUGUGAAAACUCGAGGCUCAACCUCGAGCUUGCAUCGGGUACGGGCAGACUAGAGUGCGGUAGGGGAGACUGGAAUUCCUGGUGUAGCGGUGGAAUGCGCAGAUAUCAGGAGGAACACCGAUGGCGAAGGCAGGUCUCUGGGCAAUUCCUGACGCUGAGGCGCGAAAGCGUGGGGAGCAAACGGG
rnacentral:rRNA from 1 species